rnacentral:rRNA from 1 species
GAUGAACGCUGGCGGCGUGCUUAACACAUGCAAGUCGAACGGGAAAUAUUUCAUUGAGACUUCGGUGGAUUUGAUCUAUUUCUAGUGGCGGACGGGUGAGUAACGCGUGGGUAACCUGCCUUAUACAGGGGGAUAACAGUCAGAAAUGGCUGCUAAUACCGCAUAAGCGCACAGAGCUGCAUGGCUCGGUGUGAAAAACUCCGGUGGUAUAAGAUGGGCCCGCGUUGGAUUAGCUUGUUGGUGGGGUAACGGCCCACCAAGGCGACGAUCCAUAGCCGGCCUGAGAGGGUGAACGGCCACAUUGGGACUGAGACACGGCCCAGACUCCUACGGGAGGCAGCAGUGGGGAAUAUUGCACAAUGGGGGAAACCCUGAUGCAGCGACGCCGCGUGAAGGAAGAAGUAUCUCGGUAUGUAAACUUCUAUCAGCAGGGAAGAUAGUGACGGUAC